rnacentral:rRNA from 1 species
UACCAGCACCCCGAGUGGUCGGGACGAUUAUUGGGCCUAAAGCAUCCGUAGCCGGUUUUACAAGUCCUCCGUUAAAUCCAACUGCUUAACAGAUGGGCCGCGGAGGAUACUACAAGACUAGGAGGCAGGAGAGGCAAGCGGUACUCAGUGGGUAGGGGUAAAAUCCGUUGAUCCAUUGAAGAACACCAGUGGCGAAGGCGGCUCACUGGUCCGGUACUGACGCUGAGGUGCGAAAGCGUGGGGAGCAAACAGG